AAUCUUAAGCAGGUCAAUGCUCCAAACACAGCUUCAACCUGCUGUGAAGCCAUGCUCAAUGGACUGUCUCUUUGUCACAUUCGGAUCACAGACGUGUCUGACAGAGCAUCUUUUGGAGAGGAAUGCUUUUAAAAUGUAGCAGAAGUCAGCUGUGGCUCUUUUGAGUCUCCGUGACCUUCAGUGGCCACAACUGUGUUCAACAUUUCAAUACUGUAUCCAGAUUAAUUGUAAUGGCCGGAGAGAAGAGCGCCUUCACGAAUAACUACAUUCAGAACGCAGAAAACCUUGACGAGUAUGAAGUCCGUCCUUCAGGAGUUCCUCGAGGUUCAGUAUCGCAGAUCUUUAACCGCUAACUCGCUUGACCCUGUGCAAACCACAGAUGGCCCUGAACAGAACCAGACCAGAAUAAUCUAAUACAGCAGUGAAGUACUGAUGUUUGUUUAGUGUUACUUCGGGUUCAAACCACAGCGGAGGUUGAGCUGAACGGCUGGAUAGUUUAUUGAUCCGAGUGACGCACUGCAUUUCUCUCUGCUGGGCUCGAGGGUUUUGAUUGACAGCUGCUCCAGUGCUGAUCAGCUGCCCCAGGUCUCUGGUGAUGGAUUUGAAGACUGCAGAGACUGUAUUGAGCUGUAGCUGCUACCUAUU